rnacentral:rRNA from 1 species
GACGAACGCUGGCGGCGUGCCUAAUACAUGCAAGUUGAGCGCUGAAGGUUGGUCCUUGUACCAACUGGAUGAGCAGCGCACGGGUGAGUAACGCGUGGGGAAUCUGCCUUUGAGCGGGGGACAACAUUUGGAAACGAAUGCUAAUACCGCAUAAAAACUUUAAACACAAGUUUUAAGUUUGAAAGAUGCAAUUGCAUCACUCAAAGAUGAUCCCGCGUUGUAUUAGCUAGUUGGUGAGGUAAAGGCUCACCAAGGCGAUGAUACAUAGCCGACCUGAGAGGGUGAUCGGCCACAUUGGGACUGAGACACGGCCCAAACUCCUACGGGAGGCAGCAGUAGGGAAUCUUCGGCAAUGGACGAAAGUCUGACCGAGCAACGCCGCGUGAGUGAAGAAGGUUUUCGGAUCGUAAAACUCUGUUGGUAGAGAAGAACGUUGGUGAGAGUGGAAAGCUCAUCAAGUGACGGUAACUACCCAGAAAGGGACGGCUAACUACGUG